AUUGAACGCUGGCGGCAUGCUUUACACAUGCCAGUCGAACGGCAGCGCGGGCUUCGGCCUGGCGGCGAGUGGCGAACGGGCGAGUAAUACAUCGGAACGUGCCCAGUAGUGGGGGAUAGCUCGGCGAAAGCCGGAUUAAUACCGCAUACGACCUGAGGGUGAAAGCGGGGGAUCUUCGGACCUCGCGCUAUUGGAGCGGCCGAUGGCAGAUUAGCUAGUUGGUGGGGUAAAGGCCUACCAAGGCGACGAUCUGUAGCUGGUCUGAGAGGACGACCAGCCACACUGGGACUGAGACACGGCCCAGACUCCUACGGGAGGCAGCAGUGGGGAAUUUUGGACAAUGGGCGAAAGCCUGAUCCAGCAAUGCCGCGUGUGUGAUGAAGGCCUUCGGGUUGUAAAGCACUUUUGGCGGGAACGAAAAGGACUGUGCCAAUACCACGGUUCGAUGACGGUACCCGCAGAAUAAGCACCGGCUAACUACGUG
rnacentral:rRNA from 1 species